GGUUCCCGACCCCUGUUGUAUGGGAUGAACCUUUGUAUUUACUUGAAACAUCUUCAAAUACUGUGCACAUGUGUACAAUUUUGAUGUUUGAUUGUGGCAGUCAUUACAGACGUGUAGAGAACGAAGUUGUGCCCUUGUGUCUGUGUAACUAAAACGUCUCCCUUCUCAGGGCGAUUACAAGAGCACCAUGAGACGGGGGCGUGGCAGUGCUGACGGCGAGACACAGCUGGCAGUGAGAGCACCGCGGGCCUCUCCGCUGGGGGCGUGCCUCCGCACGGCUUCAGGUGAUCUGCAAUCAGCGAACCUGCCUUUGAUGAGCCAGCUGCCUUCAUAAGCCUGCACAACCUGCCAUCCCUCGCCUGAAUGUAAUCAUCUGUUGGCGUACAACCUACGUUCCCGUGUUGACAUUGCUGUGUGUCUCGUCAUUCCUCGUCGUUCCCCCGCUUCCCGGACUGCCUCUUUGAUCUCUACCUCCCACUUGGACACGGACCUCUUGACGCCUCUCUCUCAGCCCCACGGACCUCCCGCUUGUCUCUCAGACCUCCCUCUGUCUUGUCCCCGCUCUCGAUUUAACACUACGAGACGUGGUCUAUUCUGCAGAGGUCAAUGUGAUGGACAAAAUCAAUCUUCUCCCAGCGGGGCAUUGAUGGUCUGCAAAAACUG